rnacentral:rRNA from 1 species
GACGGAGGAUGCAAGCGGUAUCCGGAAUCAUUGGGCGUAAAGCGUACGUAGGCGGCUUAUCAAGUCUGGGGUCAAAGACCACAGCUUAACUGUGGAAAGGCCUUGGAAACUAGUGAGCUGGAGUGAGGUAGGGGUUGCGGGAAUUCCCGGUGUAGCGGUGAAAUGCGUAGAUAUCGGGAAGAACACCUGAGGCGAAAGCGCGCGACUGGGCCUUAACUGACGCUGAGGUACGAAAGCUAGGGGAGCGAAUGGG